UCCACGCCGUAAACGAUGAGUGCUAGGUGUCGCGGGUAUUGACCCCUGCGGUGCCGCAGUUAACGCAUUAAGCACUCCGCCUGGGGAGUACGGCCGCAAGGCUAAAACUCAAAGGAAUUGACGGGGGCCCGCACAAGCGGUGGAGCAUGUGGUUUAAUUCGACGCAACGCGAAGAACCUUACCUGGGUUGGAAACCUCCUGAAGCUGCCGGAGAUGGUAGUGUGCCCUUCGGG
rnacentral:rRNA from 1 species